GAUGAGAACGUAGCGAAAUGCGAUACUUGGUGUGAAUUGCAGAAUCCCGUGAACCAUCGAGUCUUUGAACGCAAGUUGCGCCCGAAGCCUCGGCUAAGGGCACGUCUGCCUGGGCGUCACGCAUCGCGUCUCCCCCAAACCGCCAAGGCGGAGGGGAAGGAAGAUGGCUUCCCGUGCCUCACCCGGGCGCGGUUGGCCUAAAUUUGGAGCCCGCGGCACUUAGCUCUCGCGGCGAUAGGUGGUGAACAAGGCCUUGGCCGUGCAAACAACCCGCUGCGAAGCUCUAUGUCACGUGCGCUCGUCGGACCCUUUGAAGUUGCCUUUGGUGACUUAAAACCUUUGCGACCCCAGGUCAGGCGGGGCUACCCGCUGAAUUUAAGCAUAUCAAUAAGCGGAGGA
rnacentral:misc_RNA from 1 species